rnacentral:rRNA from 1 species
GAUGAACGCUGGCGGCGUGCUUAACACAUGCAAGUCGAGCGGGCAAUUUAUCUAGCACUGAUUACUUCAAAUGGAAAUCAUAAGUGUAAUCAUGAAUUUCUACCUUUAAUAAAGAAAAAAGAAAUUCAUGUACGCAAAUAGCGAUAACACAUUUUAGUGAAGUGAUGAGUGCUGGAUAAAUUGCUAGCGGCGGACGGGUGCGUAACACGUGGGUAACCUGCCCCUAUCACUGGGAUAACACACUGAAAAGUGUGCUAAUACCAGAUAAUAUAAGCUUUUGGCAUCAUUAGCUUAUCAAAGAAUUUCGGAUAGGGAUGGGCCCGCGUCUGAUUAGCUAGUUGGUGAGGUAACGGCUCACCAAGGCAACGAUCAGUAGCCGACCUGAGAGGGUGAUCGGCCACACUGGAACUGAGACACGGUCCAGACUCCUACGGGAGGCAGCAGUGGGGAAUAUUGCACAAUGGGC